rnacentral:rRNA from 1 species
UACAGAGGGUGCGAGCGUUGUCCGGAAUCACUGGGCGUAAAGGGCGCGUAGGCGGCCUGGCAAGUCUGUGGUGAAAGCUCAGGGCUUAACUCUGAGUCGGCCAUCGAUACUGCGAGGCUCGAGUCUGGUAGAGGCAGAUGGAAUUCCGGGUGUAGCGGUGGAAUGCGUAGAGAUCCGGAGGAACACCGAUGGCGAAGGCAGAUCUCUGGGCCGUAACUGACGCUGAGGUGCGAAAGCGUGGGGAGCAAACAGG